UACGUAGGGGGCAAGCGUUGUCCGGAAUUAUUGGGCGUAAAGCGCGCGCAGGCGGUCUUUUAAGUCUGAUGUGAAAGCCCCCGGCUCAACCGGGGAGGGUCAUUGGAAACUGGGAGACUUGAGUGCAGAAGAGAAGAGUGGAAUUCCACGUGUAGCGGUGAAAUGCGUAGAGAUGUGGAGGAACACCAGUGGCGAAGGCGACUCUUUGGUCUGUAACUGACGCUGAGGCGCGAAAGCGUGGGGAGCAAACAGG
rnacentral:rRNA from 1 species